GCCAGGCGAGGUGGUGCGUGCCUGUAGUCCCAGCUACUCGGGAGGCUGAGGCUGGAGGAUCACUUGAGUCCAGGAGUUCUGGGCUGUAGUGCACUAUGCUGAUCUGGUAUCCGCGCUAAGUUUGGCAUCAAAAUGGUGACCUCCCGGGAGUGGGGGACCACCAGGUUGCCUAAAGGAGGGGAAAACUGGCCCAGGUUGGAAAUGGAGCAGGUCAAAACUCCCAUGCUGAUCAGUAGUGGGAUUGCGCCUAUGAAUAGCCACUGUUCCAGCCUGGGCAGCAUAGCGAGACCCUGUCUCUA
ensembl:misc_RNA Metazoa_SRP Metazoan signal recognition particle RNA